rnacentral:rRNA from 1 species
UACGUAGGGGGCAAGCGUUGUCCGGAUUUAUUGGGCGUAAAGAGCGUGUAGGCGGCCAGACAGGUCCGUUGUGAAAACUAGAGGCUUAACCUCUAGACGUCGAUGGAAACCGUCUGGCUAGAGUCCGGAAGAGGAGAAUGGAAUUCCUGGUGUAGCGGUGAAAUGCGCAGAUAUCAGGAAGAACACCCGUGGCUAAGGCGGUUCUCUGGGACGGUACUGACACUGAGACGCGAAAGCGUGGGGAGCGAACAGG